GACGAACGCUGGCGGCGUGCUUAACACAUGCAAGUCGAACGGAAAGGCCCUGCUUUUGUGGGGUGCUCGAGUGGCGAACGGGUGCGUAACACGUGAGUAUCCUGCCCUUGAUUUUGGGAUAACUUCAGGAAACUGGGGUUAAUACCGGAUAGGAUCCCCUGCUGCAUGGUGGGGGUUGGAACGUUUCGGCGGUUGGGGAUGGACUCGCGGCUUAUCAGCUUGUUGGUGGGGUAGUGGCUUACCAAGGCUUUGAAGGGUAGCUGGCCUGAGAGGGUGACCGGCCACAAUAGGACUAAGGGACGGCCCAGACUCCUACGGGAGGCAACAGUGGGAAGUAUUACACAGUGGGCGGAAGUCUGAUGCAGCAACGCCGCGUGCGGGAUGACGGCCUUUGGGGUGAAAACCGCUUUCGCCUGUGACGAAGCGGUAGUGACGGUAAUGGGUAAAGAAGCACCGGCUAACUACGUG
rnacentral:rRNA from 1 species